rnacentral:misc_RNA from 1 species
AAUUAGGAAAUAAUAAAAAAUUCAAACUAGGAGAAUGGUAAAUCUCAUAUUCCCGUGGAUCUUGACACAAGUUCAGGCUAUUGGUGCAUCAGACAUGGUUUCUGGGCUUCUGGCAGCUGGCGAAGCUCUAGGGAGGUCCACACACCAGAUUCUACUCGUUUCCGAUUGGGUCAAAAUCUAAUCCAAUCAGAUUUCUGUUUCUAGGUAAUGUCAGGCGACUGGACAGGCAUGAUUGAGUUGCCCAGAGGUUGCUAGUGAUCUAGUGGUGGUGACAAGGUUCAGAAAGUUGUGGGCUU